rnacentral:pre_miRNA from 1 species
UUUGGCAUGGCAACCGCUUUGUGUCUACGUCAUCACUAGUCGUUGACAUGCGCAACA